rnacentral:rRNA from 1 species
GACGAACGCUGGCGGCGUGCUUAACACAUGCAAGUCGAGCGGGAUCCAACCGGUGGCAACACCGGGGAAGAUCUAGCGGCGAACGGGUGAGUAACACGUGAGCAACCUGCCCCGAAGACUGGGAUAACACCGGGAAACCGGUGCUAAUACCGGAUGUCGUCAUUAGGCCGCAUGACCUGAUGAUGAAAGGAUUCAUCGCUUCGGGAGGGGCUCGCGGGCUAUCAGCUUGNGGUGGGGUAACGGCCUACCAAGGCGACGACGGCUAGCUGGUCUGAGAGGACGACCAGCCACACUGGGACUGAGACACGGCCCAGACCCCUACGGGAGGCAGCAGUGGGGAAUCUUGCGCAAUGGGCGAAAGCCUGACGCAGCAACGCCGCGUGGGGGA